CCGCUUCUCUCUCUCUCUCUCUUUCCUGCUCCGCCGCGGUGAGACGUACUUGCUUCUCCUCACCUUCUACCGUGAUUCUGGACUAGACAGAAGACUACAGUUCAAUAAGAAGGAAACACAUUCAUUUUCAGUAUUGUUAAUAAAGAAGCUUACCUAAAAGAAGGAAAUCAAAACAAGAUAAUCUACACUGCAACUAGGGGAGGCUAUUGAAUGUGAUGGUCCCCUCAGAUGCCUAGAGGAAGAUGAACAAUGGUAAUCAGAUAUCCUAAAGUUAUCUUUAGGGCACUGGCAAAAUAGCAGCAAUGCCUGGUGGAAGCUGACUUUGUGCAUACACAUGAGAGCCCACAGAAAACUUCAAACUUCAUGGAAAUAAAACCUUCAGCUGCAGCUAAGAAUUUGGAGGUUACUGAAGGAGGUUACUUUUUCAAGAGCAGAAGUAAGGAUUCCACUGAAUUUGCUCACCAAAGAUAAGUCAGCAAAGAAAACUUACUGAAGAAUACAGGAACAUAAAUCUUAAGCAGGCUUACAUAAGGAAGGGAAGUGGUUGAAUCUGAGGUAAUUCCAUGGUGGACUUUGAAGAAAGCCUUCCAUGAGUUCCCAGUCCAUAUCCUCCAAAAGACAGCAUAUCAGCUCCUGCUUUCCAGACAAACUUCCUGGGUCUUGGGAAGAAGAAAGCCUCAGACUAAGAACUCUCUCUGGACUCAGACAGCCUGAAUUCAAAUCCCAUCUCUAUUCUUACUAGUCAUAUGAA
rnacentral:lncRNA from 1 species